rnacentral:rRNA from 1 species
AUACGUAGGGGGCAAGCGUUGUCCGGAAUGAUUGGGCGUAAAGGGCGCGUAGGCGGCCCGGUAAGUCUGAAGUGAAAGUCCUGCUUUUAAGGUGGGAAUUGCUUUGGAUACUGUCGGGCUUGAGUGCAGGAGAGGUAAGUGGAAUUCCCAGUGUAGCGGUGAAAUGCGUAGAGAUUGGGAGGAACACCAGUGGCGAAGGCGACUUACUGGACUGUAACUGACGCUGAGGCGCGAAAGUGUGGGGAGCAAACAGGAUUAGAUACCCUGGUAGUCCACGCCGUAAACGAUGAGUGCUAAGUGUUGGGGGGUUUCCGCCCCUCAGUGCUGCAGCUAACGCAUUAAGCACUCCGCCUGGGGAGUACGGUCGCAAGACUGAAACUCAAAUGAAUUGACGGGG